rnacentral:lncRNA from 1 species
GUGAAAGUUCUUUUUCUGCUUUGGGUCAGUGUUAGCUGGUACGAUGAUACCUGUGACUCAGAGGCCCUAGGAAAGGAUGACCCCUAAAGUGAGAAGCAGUGCUGUUAGUGAGAACUCGAAUCUGCUUCAUCAGCCUGCUGGGGGAGCUGCAGCCCAUUGGCAUCUGCUGAUCCGGAGAUUGCAGACUGCCGUCUCCUUUUGUUUUGCUGUCGUGCUGAGUGGAUCUUCAGGAUGAGCAAGUUUCAAAAAUCGGCUGUCACUACACUGUCCUGUUUCCCAAAACAAGGGUCCUAUGGAAGGAGCAGACUUUUCUGAAGCUGAUGAGACAGGAAGUGAAAGCCUCACUGUGUUCAUCCAUUAAUG